rnacentral:rRNA from 1 species
UAGGCGUACGGGUGAGUAACACGUGGAUCAUCUACCUUCUAGUGGGGAAUACCGUUGGGAAACCGACGACAAUACCGCAUAAGCUCGAGAGAGGAAAGCAGAAAUGCGCUGGAAGAGGAGUCCGCGGCUGAUUAGCUAGUUGGUGAGGUAACGGCCCACCAAGGCAUUGAUCAGUAGCCGGCCUGAGAGGGCACACGGCCACACUGGCACUGAAACACGGGCCAG